AUGGUCGCUUUUACUUGCAUAUCUGCACACAUGAAUGAGGUACAGGAAGGAACGAACUAUCACCGGGAAGUGGAUUCCUAUCAAAAUAGUGAUCGAUCUGACAGAGAUAUACAUACAGGAAAGGGGACGGCGAGGACCAAGGGCACUACACCGUGGUCGUCCAUCGUCGCCGACUGCCGGUGUCGCCGCGGGGAUGUGGAUCCAGGCAGGGCGGAGAUCCUCCAGCGGCGGAGUAUGGCAGGGGCGGUGGCGCUAGGAGGUGCAGCCGAUGGGGAAGGCGAGGGGCGGCCGGAUCCACGUGUGCUGGCGAUGAACGACGGCUGGAUCGGGCGCUAG
rnacentral:rRNA from 1 species